rnacentral:lncRNA from 1 species
GGGUUCGAUUGUACGGAUAGCGAAAUAAUGUAUCUAUACAAAGCUAUUGCGAGUACACUUUCUCGUAUUAGAACUUGCUAUUUGGCUAACUGAAACGAUCAUGAGCAACACAUAAUGUGAUUCUGAAAAAAUGCACCAGUGAUCACUGCACUUUGAACAGCUUUAGUCAAGUGCUGACAUUGAAUCUUUUGCGAAGGAUGUCCGUUCAAUAUAAUUCUACAAAAUGAAGACAAUGAAGCGAUUCGCGUUGCGUUGUGCGAUGCUCUGCAUAUUGGCCGCCCUUACUGCCAGCAUUAAACUACAUCAUGGUCCACAUACGCAUUCACAAGGACUUCCAUACAAAAAGCAUACCUACCACGAUAUACCUCUAUGCAGGCGGGUAUCCGCUUGCCCAAAGGGUUGGGUUCAGUUAUGCCUAACACCUGCUAAUCAAUGGACAAUUUUUUGUGUACAAAAAAACAUGACCUGCGAGAGCUACUGGCGAAACAUUUGCACACAGA